GUGUGGCGAGAAGUCUCGGAAUGCAUCAAGAGAGCUGAGGGGUAACCAGCUAUUCCUGCAGCAGGGCGGAGACAGGGCCAAAUAGUCCGUAUAUUCGGGAGGUGCGGCAGUUGCACUCAAUGGGGUUCUGGUUAUCACACACCCAUCUCAUCUUUUCUACUUCCCUUCCAUCCUGUGUCGAAUGCUGGUGAACUUCCACGAGGCUAACGUCAUAUGCAAGCAGAUUCUUGGACAAUGAAUUUCCACAUGAAAAACUGAAUCCAAACUGAAAGGUUCUGACCCGUUUCUCUUCACCAUACAAGUUACAUGCUUUCCCAUUUUGACAAAACACUGCCUUAAAUGACACAUCAAACAAUUUUGUCAUAUUUGUCUGAUUACUGCCUUACAAUUAGCUUUCGUCUUAACAGCCUUACUAUUUAAUACAGGGUGUCCAUAAAGGCCCAGUACCAUUACAAGUAUUUAUGACUCAGAAUGGUGCUGUGACUUUAUGGACACCCUGUAUUUAAAGGGUUUCUUUUCUGGUGUUUCGCUGGAAGGUUAAUAGAUGUUUUAACAUUGUUUUGGAAUUGUUUUUGUGUUAUUACUUUUAUCGGUUUCUUAAGGCUUUUAUUUCCUAGAAGGGCCCUUUGUAGACUGGGAAAAUGCCUUGCAAUAACAAUAAUCAAUGUAGCAUCUA